UGAGGAUGUAAGGACCUUUUCCCAGACAUGGCUUAGUGACUAGCCUAAUAAUGUGUAUACAGGAACAAAGGCCCUGGAGUGUCUGCAAGGACAGGGAUACGAACGAUGAGCUCAGAAGAAAAUGCCCAUCUUCUGACUUUCUGUCCUUUAUCAUCAGCACUCAGAGCACUGGAUUUAGAGCAUGUUUGCAGGAUAUGGGACCUAGAGUUCCAAAUUACAGCUGACACCCAAGGCUGUGUACUUGCGUUAAGUCUGCACAAUGUCCUCGAUCAACUACGGUAUGUGAAAUCUGUGAAUUCUCAA
rnacentral:lncRNA from 1 species